UAGCUAACGCUUGUGAGAUGAGCUUGCGUAGGAUUAUGUAGUUGGUAGGGUAUAAAGCCUCCCGGCCGAUAAUCCUUACCUCGAUCUGAGAGGAUGAUCAUCCACAUUGAGACUGACACACCGCCCAAACGCUUUCAAGCGGCACCAACGCGGAAUAUUGGACAAUGGGCGAAAGCCUGAUCCAUCUAUAUCGCGUGGGUGAUGAAGACUGUGUUGGUUGAAAAACCCUUGACUCUUUGAAAGAUUAUGACACCCAAAGAGCAAAAAGUCCCGGCCAAUCUCGUGCCAGCAGCCGCGGUAAUACGAGAGGGGCGAGCGUUAUUCGGAAUGAUUGGGCGUAAAGCGCACGUAUGCGGUUUAGAAAAUCCCAAAUC
rnacentral:rRNA from 2 species